CCAGCGACUUUAAAUAAAUUGCCUGUAGUCGCCCCUCCGGGGGUUGGCGACGCCAUCAAUCUGUGUCUGGCAGUGCCUCUUUCGGGGGGUUAUCACCAGCAGCUCGCUGCCCUGCGGCGUCCGAGUUCACAGAUCAAACGAUAGCGGCCACUGCCUGUGGUUGAGAUAUGAUCGGCCUCCAGCUUUCACCGAGCUGGCGAAAACUUGCGGAACCUGCGGAAGGAUCAUUA
rnacentral:rRNA from 1 species